UUUAGCCUCAUAUCCUGCAUAUUUAUUGAUAUCUACAGUUCAUAUACUCCAGUAUCAUUCCAUCAUCAUAAUAUAUUAAUAUUAUUUGUUUAUGAUUUUUUUCUAGAAGGGGAAAACUUGCUUAACUAAACUGUGUGCUGUUGAAGUCUUCUUCACUUGUCUUCACUCACCUCCAUUAAUUAUUAAUAUAUUUUAUUUAUAGAAAACAGUAUAGGUUACUGAAAAUUGCAGUUAACGAUAAAUAGCUCAAUCUUUCUCAAAAAUAGAGAUUUGGCUGCCUGAUUGUAAUUAAUUUUUGAUUUGGUAACUUGUAUUGCAUGGGGCUGGUUGUUUUUUUUCUCAUCUUAUUACUAUUUUUUUCCUUUUCCUACCAAACCAGCUGGAAAUUCAACCUGUUAAGAUAUAGGAGGGAAGAGUUGGCUAAGCACUUUGUUUAAACUUCACAACAAAGAGACUCUACAUUCGGAUACCUAUCAGAAUGAGCCACGUCAGUCAUACCGAGCCACGGUACCAAGCGUCCGUGAUGCUCGGUACUGCGGAACUGAACCGCGCUCUUAAGCAUCCGGAUGGGUUUCGCUUCCGCACAGAAUAAUUUUUCUCAGUAUUGAGGCUAUCUUUGUGCUGCUGAAAUUUUCAGCUGGCCCUUUUGAUUUCUGCACUAAUCUGAGAGUUAUAGAGCAAAGCUGCCUGAUUGUGAGCUUCUACAGUAUCUCCUGCUAUAGUCAUUUGCGAAGGCAAGCAUCUUAUUGGAGGAAGCCCAAAAACUCCAAUUCUAUGUCUCCCCACCACUAUAUGUAAUCUCUGCAUAAGUACUUUUGAUAAGCUUAUGUAAUAAAUUCAUACAUUAUAUGUAUAUAAUGUAACAAGUUUUAAUAUUAUUAAGUAUUUGUUUUGGAA